rnacentral:misc_RNA from 1 species
UUUCCGUAGGUGAACCUGCGGAAGGAUCAUUCUUAAUAAGUGUUUUAUGGCACUUUUUAUAUCCAUUUCCACCUUGUGUGCAGUGUCAGUCGUUCCCUUCUCUGGGAACGACCAAACAUCAACCAACUCUUUAACUCUUUGUCUGAAAAAUAUUACGUAUAAAAUAAUUCAAAAUACAACUUUCAACAACGGAUCUCUUGGCUCUC